rnacentral:lncRNA from 10 species
GCUGAACGCCAACACUUCCACUUCUCGUGGGGGCUUAUUUGGCCUCCCCAGGAUGGACUGGAGCAUCAGUAGUGCCCGGGUUUAUCACAGGACAGAUACUCAAGACACUCUUAUCACCAUUAGGUGGACUUGGAGGAGCAAAAAACAAGUGCAGUGGCUCCUCAGCAGAGACACUCCUGAAUGUAUAGACAUGGGAACCACCUUCAGCAUCAAAAAAGGAAACGUUCUGCAUGCCCAUAUCCAGAAAAAUCCCCACUCGCUGUAACUUGCGGUCUACGAAGAGGAAAGUCAGCGGCACCGUGCUGGCAGAGAGGCGGCUUCCAUCCCUCAAACUCACAGUCCAGAAUCCACGCUCUGUGGUCAGAUGGAUCCUCCCUUUGCGGUGAACAGAUUCUCUGCAGACUCCCAGGUCCCAUUCUGUGCUUGUUCCCACGUCCACCUCCCAGUAGUGGCGGCCACAGGUAAAGCGAGGGGAGCCCAGGAUGCAAAUGGACACGUCAAAUCUCUCGGCAAGGUCUUGCCGAUUCUGUGUGAUGCACCCACUUCGGACGCUCCUGAGGUCGUCAGAAAUGAGGAGGAAGU